rnacentral:rRNA from 1 species
GAUGAACGCUGGCGGCGUGCUUAACACAUGCAAGUCGAACGGAAAGGCCAGUGCUUGCACUGGUGCUCGAGUGGCGAACGGGUGAGUAACACGUGGGUGAUCUGCCCUGCACUUUGGGAUAAGCCUGGGAAACUGGGUCUAAUACCAGAUAGGACCAUGCUUUGGAUGGUGUGGUGGAAAGUUUUUUCGGUGUGGGAUGAGCUUGCGGCCUAUCAGCUUGUUGGUGGGGUAAUGGCCUACCAAGGCGUCGACGGGUAGCCGGCCUGAGAGGGUGUACGGCCACAUUGGGACUGAGAUACGGCCCAGACUCCUACGGGAGGCAGCAGUGGGGAAUAUUGCACAAUGGGCGCAAGCCUGAUGCAGCGACGCCGCGUGGGGGAUGACGGCCUUCGGGUUGUAAACUCCUUUCGCAACUGACGAAGCUUUUUGUGACGGUAGGUG